CAGGUCUGCUGUGGGCCUUUCCCAGGCGUGGCUGAGACUUUCAGGCGCCACGGGCUUCCCCCCAGGCAGGAUGUUGGCGUUUGGAGUUGUUGCGGUGCAGGUGAUGAAGGCAAAUGUGGUGAGCAAAAGAAGAUCAGAGGGUGCAGCUGCUGCAGAGGACGUGUCUGCUGUUGAGGAUGCCUCUUGAGGAGCAACAGUGAUGCAGAGCACUGCAAAAGCGAAGUGCAUGGGCAAAGGGUGUUGCGGGGUGUGUGUGUGUGUGUGUGUUUGUGUGUGUGAGGCAGAGGCAGUGGGGUGUGCAUGGCAGAAAGUGAGGGUGGGUGUCAGGCAGGGCAGCUCCAGCCUGUGUCUGUGUUGUUGUGUAGUCUAUGUGGUGUGUGUUGUAGCUGUGCUAUCUUUUGCUCAGGUCUUGAUGUCGCCCUUGCUCUUUGUGCUCAAGAAGCACAGCAUAUGCUUUGUAGUGCUAGUGCAACAGGCAUCUGCUGUCUUUUGUCUGGUCUUGACCGACUCAUCU